AUCUCAUUAGCUCAAAGGUAGAGCCAAUAGUUUCCUAAACUAUUAGUUUCAGUUCGAAUCUGAAAUGGGAUA
rnacentral:tRNA from 1 species